ACCCCAUAGCAAACCCCAUAGCAAACCCCAUAGCAAACCCCAUAGCAAACCCCAUAGCAAACCCCAUAGCACCUACUGCAGACCCCAUAACCCCAUGAGGCCAAUUGCAAACCCCAUAGAAAACCCCAUAGACCCUCAAACCCCAUAGCAAACCCCAUAAACCCCAUAACCCCAUAGCAAACCCCAUAGCACCUACUGCAGACCCCAUAACCCCAUGAGGCCAAUUGCAAACCCCACAGAAAAACCCCAUAGACCCUACAACCCUACAGCAAAACCCACAGGAAACCCCACAGACCCCACAACCCCAUAGGAAACCCCACCGACCCCAUGGCAAACCCCCUAGGAUCCAUUGCAGACCCAUAGCAAACCUCACAGACCCCAUAACCCCAUAGCAAACCCCACAGGAAACACCAGAACCCCAUAGGAUCUAUGGCAGACCCCAUAGCAAACCCCACAAAUUCCGAAACCCCAUAAGUCUGCCCCAUAAGUCCCCCGCUCCUAUCCCCUUUUCUCCAGCCCCUGGAGGACCCCGCGCCUAGAGCGGCCCUUUCUACGCUCCCCGCGCACCUCCCGACUUCCGCUCAGUGACCGCAGAAGGGCGGGGUUAAGGCAGGAAGUGGGCGUGGUUAGGGCAGGAAGUAGGCGUGGAUAGGGCAGGAAGUGGGCGUGGCCACGGGGCGGAAGUGGGCUUUGACGCCGCCAUGCGGGACCGGACGCGGGAACUCCUCCAGGACUACGUCCCCAGCGAUGAGGAGGGGGAGGAGACGGUGGCGUUGGUGGGGCUGAAGCCGCCCCGCGAGGAUGAGACGCUGCUGCAGGCGCGGGCGGUGCGGGCGGCGCUGCGGGCGCUGGAGCAGAAGCUGGCGGAGCUGGAGCAGCUGCAGGAGGCGCUGCUGGGAAACGCGCUGCCCGACCCCGGGCAGAAGCGGGCGCUGCAGGAGCAGCGGGACGAGAUCCAGCGCCUGGCCAACGACACC
ensembl:lncRNA syntaxin-4-like